rnacentral:lncRNA from 1 species
GGAGGUUCAGGUUGGAUAUUCGGAGCAAUGUAUUCUCAGCAAGAGUGGAAAGAUACCAGACAUGAGGACUUCUUAUGCAGUCAGGCAUGCAAACUAUGCACAGUCAAUAAGAGAUCAGCCAGAGGCCUGCAAUACCUAUGAGACCUUGCUACAUGAGCACAGCAGAGAUACUGCCAAGCAGACUUUUGAAGCAUAACCGUAGCCCAUAAUUGGAUACAUCUAGAAGAUCCUGAUCAUUGGCCCAAACUCAGGCAUUGGGAAAUUUCAACCAGAGUACUUCCUGGAUACGCCAGGGACAAGUUUUUGCUGGAGUAUCUAUUCUACACUGCACAGUACAUGGCAAGCACUUAGGAUGAAUGGCCUUUUGAAUCUACUGCAUGUGCAAGCUGGGUUAGAG